rnacentral:tRNA from 1 species
GAGGCCAUAGUGUAGCAGCAACACAACACUCUGUGGCAGUGUUAUCGGGAGUGCAACUCUCCUUGGCCUCC